CCCCCAGCCCAACUACCUAUUUCCCCAAUCCCCACCCCCAAAUCCCUAACAGCCAUUGGGGCGACCCCGUGCGGCGGCGCAAGAGGCGAGCAGCGAGGGGGUCGGCGGCACGGCGGCACCGGCGAGGUGGACCGGCAAGCAGCAUGUGGAAGCGUGUGGCGGCAGCUUGCACGACCUCGUGAGCAGCGGAGCACGCGGCGGUGAGUCCGCACGAGCAUCAAAAGGAGCAGCAGCAGGCCACACCGCCACGGGAGCUUGCGGAGGCAGCGGAGCAGCUGAGCAAGAGCAGCCCGCAGCCUGCAGCCCAUAGGCGAGCAGCAGUAGGCCGGCGGCUGCAAAACAACUAAACAAAAAAAAGACUGAAUCGCAGCAUGUCGAAAAGAACAUUGUUCAACUAUUAUUCGAGUGGCAGCAGCAGUACCCCUACUGCAGAGGAUGAUGAGAACAUAAGGCAACAAAAAAUGGCAAGGGUAGAGUAUGUCGGUGUUUCCAGUAUGUUGACACUCCCCCCCCCCCCAAAAAAAAAAAAAAAAUUCAUUCUUGGAUCCGCCCCUGUGGGGGAGCGCGCGAGAGAAUUCGUGAAAAUGUUCACACACUCUCUCUCUCUCUCUCUCUCUCUCUCUCCCUGCCUACUGCUACUGCCACGGGCCACGGCGCAGAAAGCGGCAAAAAGGCUACGCGCAUACAGCAGAGGUCUCGUGGUUUUGCCCGAGCUAGGGCAUGGUGUUGUACGGUUUGACGACGUACACACAUAACAUGCACCGUGCUAUGCGCAUACGGGGGUGGCCGGUUAGUCCGAUUCGGUACGUGCCUAUGUGAGAGAAACGACGCGUGAUUUUGCCCACUCGUAACAGUGACACGACGCAAUGCAGGCGAUCGUUGUCUUGUGGAUUGUUUCCAUGUUGCAAUGAGCGCUAGAAUUGCAGGCAUAUAUCCUUCGUUUGUUAUCACUAAUUAAAACCUUAUGAGUGUGUCAUGACGAAACAACGUUCCAAUGAGUUGAAUCUGUGGAUAAUUAAUGCAGCAAAAUGUCUCUACAUGGUGUGUUUUCGUUGGUGCCACUUAGGCACUUUUUGGUUUUGAUUUUUGAUCGCACCCAAAUUUUGUAGAGCUCCUAGUAGACAUUUUCUUUUGACACUAGGAAUUAGAUUGCAUGUUUGAAAUUAUUUUUUCCCAAAGAAAAUAACUAAGGCUAGGAUCCUACUAUUACCUGUUUUAUGCUUGCCAUCCAUGCGAUUAAGCAGCAGCGCUGUAAUACAGGAUUAAUUGAGGCCGUAUGAUCUGUUUCAGUAAUCUGUAGCCAUCAUAGGCACCCACGCCUCUCAUCACAGGAGCGCAUGGAAGCGGUGGUUGGUUUGUGGUCUGUGAGCUAGUACAAUGGUUAUAAUCUUUUUUGCUUCCUUUUGGUUUAUCUCCUCCCGAUUUUUAUUUGGGUUAAUUGGAUCCAUGCCACCGCAAAUGUGGUAAAUCAAAAAAAUGCCACCACUAUUCGUCAUAUCGCAGGCGUGCCACUACUAUUGUGUCUAAAUUGGAUAUGUGCCACAAUAUACCACACGCGUGUGCUUUUCCAGAGUUUAAGCAUACCGUAUUUUCAUAUGGACCAAAAUGCCCCCGUGUCGCUGGGUUGUAAGCCAUCGUGGUCUGGCUCGACGAGCUCGCCAUCCAUUCCCUACCUCACACCAAAACCCUAGAUCUCGAAGGCGGCGACGAUGGCGUCCGCGAUGAUUGUCAGCGCGACCUCGCUAUCCAUUCCCAACCUCACACCGAAACCCUAGAAUCUUGAAGGCGGCAUCGGAGGCGGUUGCGCAGGCGACGGCGACGACGACGACUGCCGACACGAGGAUGGAUUCACCGAGGCAAAAGCAGGACACACAGGCAAGCGGCAGUGUUGUUCGUCGACCGGGGGGAUUAGCUCCUUCCAUCCCCACAUUGAAGUGCGCUUGCGAUGUCCCCGCCGCGGCGCUCAUUUUGAACACCCCGAGGAAUCCUCGACGGUGAUGGCUCCAGUGCGGCAAAUCGAAGGGUUUAUGCUACUUAUGGAUUUGAGAAGACCUACUGAAUGAGCACGCUGAAUAAAUGGUAGCAUACUGCCAGGCCGGUGUGCAAGAUUAUCUGGGUGAAAGAAUCGACAUGCUUCAGCAACAGUUAACUGAGGCUCAACAUGAGGCUCAACAUCAAAAUUGCAAGUUGUCUGAGCUGGUUGAUUUUGUAGGACAAUGAACUGAAGUUGAUGAAGAAACAUUUGGAAGAAGAAAAGAUUACCCGUUCCAGAUUACUUUAUCUUGUGUUAGUGAUGUCCCUUGUAAUAGUUAGCUUAGUUAUUUGUUCAAAUUAGCUAAGUUGAGAUGUAUUGUAAAGAAGUCAGCUUCUGGUACUUCAAUGAAGCCCCUGCUCCCCUAUUUUGUAUGUAAUGAAGCAUAAUCUGUGAUCAAAUGUUGUGUGGCAGAAAUGUUGAGUAUUUUGGCAAUGAAAAGUGAUGCAGAAAUGUUGAGUAUUUUAA